rnacentral:misc_RNA from 1 species
AAUAAAAGAAAUACAACAGAUGUGACCCAAUAAUUCUUUCUAAACUAUUCAAUUGAAUCAAGAAUUUUAAAAACGGGGUAUAACAGAGCCAACACAGUAAGUCAUAAUGGUCAGGUUAAAUCUCAUACAAGGGUUCCAUUCUCUAGCCAGAGCAGAUAAAGGCGCCAGAAUACUUCCAUACAUCCAUGCUCCCAUAUGCAAACAAGUCGCUCAUCUACAUUAUUAAUUAAAAUAACCGAACACGUUAUAAUAUAUAAUUACAAAUUAUACCAAUAUAGAUAAUGAUCUUGGUAGAAAAAUUCCUUCCUCCUUUUUGUUUUGUUUAUUCAUAUUUUUCCUCCCUAUAAAUAUAACUUAAAAAUUGUCCCAAUCUAGAUGAGUACCACUGCUUUAUGAUCCAUCCAUGAACAGAGCACCAUGUCCACUGGAUUUCAUGAACUUCUUCAGCAAAAGAACCAAAAUUGCAAUGGUGAGUCCAACAGCAGCCCAUGUGAACAAGCGAUCAUCAGCUGGUCUUUGAGCCCUUUUCUCUGGCCUAUGCAGCACCUGAUCACUUGAACCACUAGCAGGAGUCUCUCUUGAUACCCUCACUUCUAUAGUGCCAGGAUUCACAAUGACUGGAGCCUCGGGCACUUCUUCGAUAAUUCUAUCACCUACUGCCAGAUGUUCAUUUGGAUGUGCAGCUAUGGCUCCAUCUUCUUGCAAACUUGACUGGGCUUCACCCUCCCUGUUGGUAGGUUGUUCUUCAGAAUCCUGAGAAGGGCUUAGUUGAGGAACUGGCGGUGCCUUGCUUAGCAUAUACUGAUGAAUCUCAUCAAUGAGUUUUUGACGCUCGGAAGUCCCAAAUCUAGGGGCUGCUUCACGAGAUUUGAUGGCCAGAACACGUCUCUCUUCCUUCUUGUAGUCUAAUGAGCCCAGCGCACCAUUUGGAUUGGUAGGCAUGAAUGCAAUAAGAGCUACCAGAGCUGUUCGUACUGCCAAUGAGAAUGAGUGAAGCCAUGCAACAUUAGCCAGGUACUUAUAGAAUCAACAUAUUGCAUGCAUGCAAAAUUCAGCCUUCAUUUACCAUUAGUAAACAGGUAAGGCAGUGCAAAUAAUUAAAUUUAAAAGUGAAGCAUCAAUUAAAAUUUGGCAUCAAAAUUCCAGGUACCAUUAUUCAUUCCAAUACACCACAUCUCAGUCUUACCUAGUUGAGAUACAAUGUAUUGUAUAUCUUAAUCUUUAACAGUCUAUCCCAAUAUUAAUGCAGAACUAAGAAAGGAAGAAAUUGUGUCACUUUUGAGUAAAAUUAAAAAAUAACAUAAAUUUGUCCUAACUGCCAGUCUUCCUUUUCCAAUUUGGUCAUUUCCACUGCACUUGAAACUUAACGGUUAACCUCCAGUAAGCUAUAUCAAAUGACAGUGGGAGCAGCAUAAUGAUAUAGAUAAUUUGAACACACUCUUACUCUAUUACCAGCAACACUUCUAAAGAAGAUAAACUUACCACUCCAUGAUGGCUGCCAGUGCUCAGGAUGGUGAUUUGAUAUGCUUAAGCAUAUCUUUGUCUGGGUUUCAAAACGGCCAUUUGGCUGGAAAAAAGGGCAGAAACCCUCGUUAGCAAUAUCUGAAGAAUUAAAUGAAUAUUAGUAAAAGUAAUAUCUUACUGUCAACAACAUAAAUGAAGGCGGUUUGAAUGGAUAUUCUGCAGGCAAUUGAAUCCGUCCAUGAUAAAUCCCACCCUCAAAUUCAGUAUCACUAGGGCCCCUGAUGGCAAAUUGCCAUUCAAAUAUGUUCUCCUCAAGAGGCAGGCUCAUGAAAUCAUCAGAAGGAUUAGAUUGCAUCUCUUUGACCUCCUGCAAAAUCCUCUUCACGGCCGGAUUCUUCAAAUUGUACUUAUCCUCAGCCAUUAUCUCACCUGAUCUGAUCGGCGAUCCAACCACCACUGUCCGUUUAGCUGAGCAACCACGUAUGAAGAACCGUAUUUAUGGCUGGUGUAGAUAAGAUAAGAAGUGUAAGAUACGGUUUCACGGAGAGAGAGAUUGGAAAGGGUUUUAUUUAAUGGAAGAGAUUGUUGAGUCGAGAGGAGCUGGAGACGACGACUUUAUCUGUCGAAAUGACACGUCAUUCGACGAAUAUUGGCUACGUGGCUCGUGGCUAUUGGAUACUUUGCCGUACCAGUCCUAG